CCCUUAGAUGUUCUGGGCUGCACGCGCGCUACACUGAAGCUAUCAACACGUUUUCCCUCCCUGAGAAGGGCGGGUAACCUUUUGAAUCAGCUUCGUGGUAGGGAUCGGGGCUUGCAAUUGUUCCCCGUGAACCGGGAAUUCCUAGUAGACGCGAGUCAUAAGCUCGCAUCGAUUAAGUCCCUGCCCUUUGUACACACCGCCCGUCGCUACUACCGAUUGAACGUUUUAGUGAGGCAUUUGGACCGACGCAUCUCAGUUUAACCGCUGGUUUGUGUUGGAAAGACUUCCAAACUUGAGCGUUUAGAGGAAGUAAAAGUCGUAACA
rnacentral:rRNA from 1 species